GUAUUUAUAUUUAUUUAUUUUAAGAUGAAAUGUGACCUGGACAAGUGAGCUUUAUAUGCGUGUUCUUUUGUGUGCUUAUACACUAAGGUAUAAUGUGUUUAUGGUCUCUUUUUUGUCCUUUUUAGGCAUUCUUUGUUGUACCAAAAACAGCUCUGUGUUCCAUGGAAAUAAAAACAGCAUUUGGAUUUGGAACAACAUGAAACAGCACACAAGUUCUUGGCAGAAGCCCCACCCUGUUUGGCAGAGGGGUGUGUUCACCCAUUGUCCCCUCCUCCAUUGUCACCUUCGGUAUUCUCAUCCGUGUUUUACAUCCUCGUCCUCCACAGAGCAGCUUGGCGUAAGCUGACCUGAAGUCUCUAUUGAGUGUGGCGUAAAGUACUGGGUUUAGGGCAGAGUUUGCAUAUCCUAGCCAAAGCACCACAGACUGCACAGUUUGCGGCGGGUUAUCUUCGUUGCUUAUCCCCAUUAUCAUAAAAAAAGUGAAAUACGGGAACCAGCACACCACGAAAGCACCAAGCACCACUGCAAGCGUCACCAUGGCUUUGUGUUCACGCAGGGUGAGCAUCAUCACUCCUGGUGAAGACGAAGAACACCG
ensembl:lncRNA